UACAGAGGUCCCAAGCGUUGUUCGGAUUUACUGGGCGUAAAGGGUGCGUAGGUGGCGGGGUAGGUCUGGUGUGAAAGCUCCGAGCUCAACUCGGAAAAGCAUUGGAAACUUUCCCGCUGGAGGGUCGGAGGGGAGACUGGAAUUCUCGGUGUAGCAGUGAAAUGCGUAGAUAUCGAGAGGAACACCAGUGGCGAAGGCGAGUCUCUGGACGACUCCUGACACUGAGGCACGAAAGCUAGGGGAGCAAACAGG
rnacentral:rRNA from 1 species